AGAGUUUGAUCAUGGCUCGAGGACGAACGCUGGCGGCGUGCCUAACACAUGCAAGUCGAACGAGGUCCAAGGAAGCUUGCUUCCUGAAGACCUAGUGGCGAACGGGUGAGUAACACGUGAGAAACCUGCCUCGGAGUGGGGAAUAACUCGGGGAAACUCGAGCUAAUACCGCAUACCUUCACAUGAUCGCAUGGUCGAGUGAAGAAAGAAUUUCGCUCUGAGAGGGUCUCGCGGCCUAUCAGCUUGUUGUGGGGUAACGGCCUACCAAGGCAACGACGGGUAGCUGGUUUGAGAGAACGAUCAGCCACACUGGGACUGAGACACGGCCCAGACUCCUACGGGAGGCAGCAGUGAGGAAUCUUGCGCAAUGGGCGAAAGCCUGACGCAGCAACGCCGCGUGCGGGAUGACGGCCUUCGUGGUUGUAAACCGCUUUCAGCAGGGACGAAAAUGACGGUACCUGCAGAAGAAGCCCCGGCUAACUACGUG
rnacentral:rRNA from 1 species